UGAAAGCCCAGAGGCCAGAGGAAUGC
rnacentral:piRNA from 1 species